GAUGAACGCUGGCGGCGUGCCUAAUACAUGCAAGUCGAACGCGCAGCGAGAGGUGCUUGCACCUUUCAAGCGAGUGGCGAACGGGUGAGUAACACGUGGAUAACCUGCCUCAAGGCCGGGGAUAACAUUUGGAAACAGAUGCUAAUACCGAAUAAAACUUAGUAUCGCAUGAUAUCAAGUUAAAAGGCGCUACGGCGUCACCUAGAGAUGGAUGCGCGGUGCAUUAGUUAGUUGGUGGGGUAAAGGCUUACCAAGACGAUGAUGCAUAGCCGAGUUGAGAGACUGAUCGGCCACAUUGGGACUGAGACACGGCCCAAACUCCUACGGGAGGCUGCAGUAGGGAAUCUUCCACAAUGGGCGCAAGUCUGAUGGAGCAACGCCGCGUGUGUGAUGAAGGCUUUCGGGUCGUAAAGCACUGUUGUAUGGGAAGAAAAGCUAAAAUAGGGAAUGAUUUUAGUUUGACGGUACCAUACCAGAAAGGGACGGCUAAAUACGUGCCAGCCGCCGCCGUAA
rnacentral:rRNA from 1 species